rnacentral:ncRNA from 1 species
GUGUAAGUACGCACGGCCGGUACAGUGAAACUGCGAAUGGCUCAUUAAAUCAGUUAUGGUUCCUUUGAUCGCUCCAUCUGUUACUUGGAUAACUGUGGUAAUUCUAGAGUUAAUACAUGCCGAUGAGCGUUGAUUAAGUCCCUGCCCUUUGUACACACCGCCCAUCGCUACUACCGAUUGGAUGGUUUAGUGAGGUCCUCGGAUCGGCCCCGCCGGGGUCGGACACGGCCCUGGUGGAGCGCCGAG